GGUCCUGACUCGCUCUUUUGGUAAUAGAGCAUGGCAUUGUCGAUGCCGGGGUUAGGGGUUCGAUUCCCACUGGGACCA